GGGGAUGACAGGCUUCGACGGGAGAGGCUGGUUCCGGAAUGCGAGCCGAGCGCGCACCGAACUCGUAAAAUCAGUGCAAAACUUUAAGUGCCAACCGCACUUCAUACGCUGCUAUGCCCCUCGCUGCAUAAGCGAACAUAACAGCAUGACAUCUUAGGAUGUCACGUCCGCCGGCCCUGUACUCCAUCCAGUGACGGACCGGGCGAAACAAGAAUGGAGCGCUGCGUAUGACUCCACUAAAUACGCCUAAGACAAGUGGAUGGUCACAGAGUUACCUGCCCGCCGAGAUCUCUGUGAUGACUAACUUCGGCAGGCUACGCUCGUAGAUUUCCGAGGGUCGAAUCUUUCGGACGCGGGUUCAAUUCCCGCCAUCUCCACAC
rnacentral:tmRNA from 1 species